rnacentral:misc_RNA from 1 species
AACUUUUAGCAAUGGAUCACUUGGCUCUCGCAUCGAUGAAGAACGCAGCGAAAUGCGAGAAGUAAUGUGAAUUGCAGAAUUCAGUGAAUCAUCGAAUCUUUGAACGCACCUUGCACCCUUUGGCAUUCCGAAGGGUAUGCUCGUUUGAGUGUCAUUUUACUCUCACACUCCCGAUGCUUUUGGAUUGGGAGUGGUGGACUUGGGUGUUGCUGCUUUACUGUGGCUCACCUCAAAUGGAGUAGUGCAACUCUUGGUUGGACAUAGUACGGCGUGAUACGUGUCUUCGCCGGCGCCUCAUUAGAGGGUGGCCGAUCGGGAGAUCUGUGCUUCAAACCGUCUUCGGACAACAUCUGACAACUUGACCUCAAAUCGAGUAGGACUACCCGCUGAACUUAAGCAUAUCAAUAAGCGGAGGCU